CCUUAGUUGCUACCAUUUAGUUGUAGCACUCUAAGGAGACUGCCGGUGAUAAGCCGCGAGGAAGGUGGGGAUGACGUCAAGUCCUCAUGGCCCUUACGGGCUGGGCUACACACGUGCUACAAUGGCGGUGACAAUGGGAUGCUAAGGGGCGACCCUUCGCAAAUCUCAAAAAGCCGUCUCAGUUCGGAUUGGGCUCUGCAACUCGAGCCCAUGAAGUUGGAAUCGCUAGUAAUCGUGGAUCAGCACGCCACGGUGAAUACGUUCCCGGGCCUU
rnacentral:rRNA from 1 species